AAACUGAGGAGGGAGGAGAGCACGGAAGGAGGGGCCUACGGGUGGAAGGAGAGGCCAAAUCUUCAGAGGCUUAGAGCGUCUGCUAAGGAACAGAAAACGAAGUAAAAUUUGCUGGAUGGGGGCCAGGGCUCCGGGCCUAGUGAGCAGCCGGCAGGCAGGAGGGCGUGGAUUCCCUUUACUUCGAUCGGACUAUGCCAAGAAGGCACCCCUUCUCGCUUUGGGAAUGGCGCGGUUCAACCGCGUCAAUCUGUCGCGGUUAGCGGAGCGGCUAGAGGCUGCGGUUCUGCCUCCGAGGUCAUCAGCUGCCUGGACAGCGUUUGUCCUCCAGCCUCCAGACGUCGAUCCUCCAGAAAGGGGCUGGACAGGGCCAGGUUGAGAGAGAUAUCAAAUAUUACACAGUAUCGCUUUAAAAAAUUUGCUGUGGUGGAAACAAAUGAAAUGAAGUCUCCCUGGAAGAAAAUCUGUAUUUCUUGGGAAGAACCAUGGUUUCCUGACAGAAGCUACCCUAUGCAGAAGACAAGUGAAUCCUCAAUAAAUACUGAUUGGUUUACUACUUUUCCCAAGGA